CAGCCGCCACGGUAAUACGGUGGAUGCAAGCGUUAUCCGGAAUCAUUGGGCGUAAAGGGUCCUGAGGUGGUUUGCCCAGUCUACUGUGAAAGAUCAGGGCUCAACCCUGAAAAUGCGGUGGAAACUAGCAGGCUAGAAUACGGUAGGGGCAGGGGGAAUUCCCGGUGUAGCGGUGAAAUGCAUAGAUAUCGGGAAGAACACCAAUGGCGAAAGCACCCUGCUGGGCCGAUAUUGACACUGACAGACGAAAGCUAGGGGAGAAAAUUGGAUUAGAUACCCCAGUAGUCCCUGUCUCUUAUAC
rnacentral:rRNA from 1 species